UAUAGAGGGGGCAAGCGUUGUUCGGAAUUACUGGGCGUAAAGGGCGCGUAGGCGGCCUGUUAAGUCGAACGUGAAAUCCCCGGGCUCAACCCGGGAACUGCGUCCGAUACUGGCAGGCUUGAAUUCGGGAGAGGGAUGCGGAAUUCCAGGUGUAGCGGUGAAAUGCGUAGAUAUCUGGAGGAACACCGGUGGCGAAGGCGGCAUCCUGGACCGAGAUUGACGCUGAGGCGCGAAAGCCAGGGGAGCAAACGGG
rnacentral:rRNA from 1 species